UACGUAGGGUGCGAGCGUUGUCCGGAAUUACUGGGCGUAAAGAGUUCGUAGGCGGUUUGUCGCGUCGUUCGUGAAAACUUGGGGCUUAACUCCAAGCGUGCGGGCGAUACGGGCAGACUUGAGUACUACAGGGGAGACUGGAAUUCCUGGUGUAGCGGUGAAAUGCGCAGAUAUCAGGAGGAACACCGGUGGCGAAGGCGGUUCUCUGGGCCUUACCUGACACUGAGGAGCGAAAGCGUGGGGAGCGAACAGG
rnacentral:rRNA from 1 species